GAACCCUGCGUAACAUCAGCAUGUGACGUAACACUAUGCUACGCUAUGGACUCUGGGUAUUGAAGUCCGCUAGCCUAUACGAGCCGUAAAAACCCUGCUGUGUUGAGAAUUACUGUGUAUUGAGAUUUACAAGGGUCUAUAGAGCGACCGGUAUAUAUUGACCUGACACAUGACGAGGAGGCUGGCUCCAGCAGCGCGUCGAUAGAUCUUACCGCGUCUGAAGAGGAGGUUGGCUCCAGCAGAGCGGUUCCGGACCCCUCAUUAUUAAUCGAAAGGAGUUGCGGAUCCGGUGACGAUGUGUCUAACUGGACAGAUACACAGCUGAACGUUUGGGAGCGUUCGUCUUGGUCCAGCGAGAGAGAGGAGAGGUCUCCGAUAAGGCGUCAGCAGACACCGUUAGCCGAACAAGAAGACAUCGCCGACGACGAACGAUCAUCAUCGGCGAGGGGUAGACAGACACCGUUUGCUCUUCAAGAUCAAAAUACUGUCUCGCUAGAUCAACUCAACGCUAUCUUAAGGGAGUCUAAUAUUCCUUUACACGAGUCCAUUGACAGACUGUGGGGUUCUGUCGGUGAGAUACAUACGAUUCUUAUGAGAUUGUAUGCUUUUAUCGAAGGUGUUAAUCAUCGCGACGAAGCGCUGGAGAAUUCUUUCAACCGUUUGCUCGAGUCAUCAAACGAACAGAUGAGAGAAAGGCGUCUAAUGGUUGAACUCCUCUGUGCUAUAAAAGCCGUACUAUUUUCUAGAUAGUCACUAUUUUUAUAUUGACCAAUGAUCGCUAUAAGUUUUUUACAUUUAUCUCUAUAUCUUAUAAUCGAUUUUUACAUUUACAAUUUUAUCUCUAUAUCUUAUAAUUGAUAUUUUACAUUUACAAUUUUAUCUCUAUAUCUUACAAUCAAUAUUUUUAUAUUACUAUUUAUAUCUAUAUC